rnacentral:lncRNA from 1 species
AACAAGGCAUCACACACCUAGGGUCACAGAACCAAUAUAUUCUAUAUAUUCUCUCACUUUCCUGGAACUACAACCAUGGGAACAAAUUCUUUUACGUAGGGCUCCAGCAUCAUAGGAGAACUGGGGGAACUUGGCAUGGGUUAUUGUCCCUCUGUGGAUUCCAUACUAUGGAACAUCAAGAUGGUGAUAUAGGUCUCCUUUGCCCUUCCUUAUUAUGGGUAUUGUCUGUUGGAGUUUAUCACUACUUCAUUUGUAAAUACUAAGCAUUCCUGUUUUCUAUCCCCCUUAAACCUUGAAAGCUCAGUUUGGAUAUCACUUCUUUUGGGUAGCUUUUCUGCUUGUUGCAUAACAAAACUGUCGUUCUAAGAUUUCAAUAGCUUCUCUGAUACUAUGGCAAAAUUCAAAGUCCCUUUUUAUGCUCACAAGACUCUUCAAGAUCUUUUAUCAACAAUUCUGUCUCUCUCCACUCCCCAGCUUGCAUGCUGUUUCAUCCUUGUGAAGGCAGUAUGGCUUAAUGGUCAAGACUGCACAAUCUGAAACUAAACUGCUCGGCUCACCUCAGGAAUAGAUGCAUAUUCUGAUUGCCUCUUCUGGAAAGACUUAUCAGAAACUCAAAAGAACACAACCAUCUGUCUCUCACCUACAUGUGACCUGGAAGACCCCAGUUGGCGGCAGUGGGUUGAGCAUUUUAUUGCCCUGGAAAAGAUUGUGGUUUUGUUGCAAGGAAGAAGAGAAGAAUGACAUUUUUGUGGAAGAAUUGGGUUCUGUCUCCCAAUUAGGAUAGACUUGACUGCAACUGAAAUAGCCUUGAAGUCUUCCUUGCCUGCUUAACUCUCUCCUGCAAUUUCUCUUUGACAAAUGAAACUGUAUGUGAUGGCAGUGAUAUUACAAAGCUAUAAAAUUCUAUGAUUCUUUAUUCAUAAAAUUGCAUGAGAAGAUUGGGUAUCCAAUUGGAGAAAAUAUUUCUGUUUCACACUAAUUGCAAAAAUAAAAUCCGAGUAAGUUAAAAAUAUAAAUGCU